rnacentral:rRNA from 1 species
AGCGAACGCUGGCGGCAGGCCUAACACAUGCAAGUCGAACGAACUCUUCGGAGUUAGUGGCGGACGGGUGAGUAACACGUGGGAACGUGCCUUUAGGUUCGGAAUAACUCAGGGAAACUUGUGCUAAUACCGAAUGUGCCCUUCGGGGGAAAGAUUUAUCGCCUUUAGAGCGGCCCGCGUCUGAUUAGCUAGUUGGUGAGGUAACGGCUCACCAAGGCGACGAUCAGUAGCUGGUCUGAGAGGAUGGCCAGCCACACUGGGACUGAGACACGGCCCAGACUCCUACGGGAGGCAGCAGUGGGGAAUCUUGCGCAAUGGGCGAAAGCCUGACGCAGCCAUGCCGCGUGAAUGAUGAAGGUCUUAGGAUUGUAAAAUUCUUUCACCGGGGACGAUAAUAACGGUACCCGGAGAAGAAGCCCCGGCUAACUUCGUGCCAGCAGCCGCGGUAA